GAGCGGCGUGAGAGCGGCGGGCGGGGAGGUAGGCGGUGGCUGCUGGCAGUGUGGGGCGGCCAGGACUGAUCGGCCGGGUCCCCGGGGUACUACCCACGCCGGGUGCAAUAGCGACAACUCCAUACCGGGGACUCCGGGACUGGCGGGACCCGAGAGGCGACUCUCCCAGAUCCCGUGUUUCCCCGCACUGAGCGACCGUGCCCAGUGUCCUGCAGAGGACGCUCGCCGGCGCGUUCUCACCAAUGUCAAUUUGUCACCCCUUUGCCUAGCUCCACCCCCCGGGCUGGAAAACCUGGCAGCAGACGGUCUACGGUCCCCCGGGCCCAGGCCCCGCGCUGCCCCUCCUUGUCUCCUCCCGGCCACGCGCUACGAGCCCGGGAUGCAGCUCUCCAACAGGGCAGCAGCCAGGGAGGCAGCGAGCCGCGACGUGCUGGCUGCGGACCUCCGCUGCAGCCUCUUCGCCUCGGCGCUGCAGAGCUACAAGCGGGACUCGGUGCUGCGGCCCUUCCCCGCCUCCUACGCCCGCCACGACUGUAAGGACUUCGAGGCCCUGCUUGCGGACACUGGCAGGUUACCCAACUUGAAGGAACUUCUACAGUCUUCCAGAGACACAGACAAACAGGCCUGGGACCUGGUGAGCUGGAUUUUAUCCUCCAAGAUCCUGACAAUCCACAGUGCCAAGAAGGCAGAGUUUGAAAAGAUCCAGCAGCUGACCGGCGCCCCUCACACACCUGUCCCCACCCCGGAUUUCCUAUUUGAAAUUGAGUACUUUGACCCGGCCAACUCCAGAUUUUAUGAGACCAAAGGAGAACGAGACCUAAUCUAUGCCUUCCAUGGUAGCCGCCUAGAGAACUUCCACUCCAUCAUUCACAAUGGCCUGCACUGCCACCUGAACAAGACUUCUCUGUUUGGAGAGGGGACCUACCUCACAAGUGACUUGAGCCUGGCCCUCAUUUAUAGUCCUCAUGGCCACGGGUGGCAACAUAGCCUUCUUGGCCCGAUCCUGAGCUGCGUAGCUGUGUGUGAGGUCAUCGAUCAUCCAGAUGUCAAGUGCCAAAUCAAGAAGAAGGGACAGAGUCUCACUAUGAAGUAGCUCCCUAGCUGUCCUGGAACUCACAGUGCAGACCAGGCUGGCCUUGAGCUCACAGGAAAUCAGCCUGUCUCAGGGGCUGAGGGUAAGAGUGCUAGGAUCAAAGGUGUAUGCCACGAGGCCUGCUGGAAGUGAAUGUUCUGAGAGCUUACUCUAGCGGGGCUUAUUCAGAAGGCCUCCUGGGCCCAGGGGAGGUAGCCCAGGCAGUGGAGUGUGCACCUGGCAGGUAUGAGCCCCUGAGGUCCCUCCUCAGCACAGCAUCCGCCUGCUAAGAUGCCUGUGAGCCCAGCACUCAGAAGGUGGAGACAGGAGGAUCAGAAGUUCAUGGUCAUCCUUAGUUAGCUGUUUAAUUCAGGUACAUGAGACUUGUCAAAAGAUAGAUGGAUGGAUGGAAGAAUGGACGAACGGAUGGAUGGAUGGGCAGGUGGGCAGGCAGGCAGGCUUCCAUCUUUGCUCCCUGGUAAGUCCUUGUCUUGGUCCUAGGAUGUGUGAUCCUGAUCUGCUAUUUCAGCCUUCAGCUUGCUUCCACCUUCUGCUUUCUCCAUUAGAUGGUUUUUAUUUUCUUCUCUUAUAUUUUCACAUUCUUUUUCCCAUCUAUCUUUCUCUGCCUGCCAGAGACUCCUGCCGUCUGUGCUGGGUUCACAUAUGAACACAGGUACAUACCUCAGCCUGCUGACCUUCUGUGCCUCAGGACACAUUUCUAUUCCUAAUUUGCUUAGUUUGUUAUUGUGUUUCCCGUCCCCACCCACCACCUGACAAAGUAUGCUCUACCUUCCUUUUUCAGAUUCCAAGGAAAUAGACCGCAGCCGAGCAAGAAUCAAGCACAGCGAGGGGGGAGAGAUCCCCCCUAAGUACUUUGUAGUCACCAAUAACCAGCUUCUGCGGGUGAAGUACCUGCUGGUGUAUUCCCAGAAGCAGCCCAAGAGGGCCUCGAGCCAGCUCUCCUGGUUGUCCAGCCACUGGUUCGUGAUCAUGAUGUCCCUGUAUCUGCUGCUGCUGCUCAUCGUGAGUGUCACCAACUCCUCUGUGUUCCACCACUUCUGGAAUCGUGUGAAGAGAUGAUCCCAGGUGCUUGGAGUGGGGCCACUCACCGUGUGCCUUAUGGAAACUUGUCCUCUACCUCCUGUGUGUCACAUCCGGUCAGGUCGAGUCUGGGGACCAUUUGCAGGGGUGCACAGGACGAGUUUUAUAUGCCAUAAGUGUACUGAUUGCCUUUGUUGAUGUGCCCAGACACAAUCCAGUCAGUGGGGGAUCCCUGGCCCCUCACUUGUCAGUUUCAGGGGUGUCCUACCCUCUGCUUCCUCCUAAAUAGUCUAGGGAGGUGGCUCUUCAGCCAGAGCCAAAGGAAAAAGUCCUGCUGCAUUUAAAAGCAAAGUGUCCAAGCUGUCCGAGGUGUGUUUACAAUUGCCCAGAUGGAGGCCGGCCCGGAUGCUAAUGCCUUUUGGAAGACAGAAUGUGUGCAACGGGAACAAUAAAUCAUUAGGCGACUGCCUUGUUUUGACUCAAGACACCCAAGAGGGACUGUCGUGUUUCUCAUAAAAAUAUCAGUGGGAUCGUUUGGGAAUUCCAUCGGCUUUAGUCUGCCGGUGCAAAACAUUUUAACAGUUUUCUCAGAUCAACAACCGUCUCUGCCACAGCUGUACCCCCUCCCUCCUUAACCACACAAGAGGAGGAGCCACAGGCGGGAUAACAAAAUGCAGAUUUAACAACUAGCAACUCUGUCAUCUUUUUCUAAAAAUGACCAACUGCUGAUUACAGCUCAAACGGAACCAAAUGUUUGCGUUUCUGUUUUUGUUGUCAUUUAUUUGACAAGUUAGCCUCUAUGAGCCAAAUAGAGGGGGAGAUGUGUGAACCUGGAGCACCGAGUGGCUACAUCCACAGCCUCUUUCUGGUGUUGUUAUGGAGAAGGGUCCAAGCCAUAGGCUCACCAGGGUCCUCAUUCCCACAAAGCUGCCUUGAUACCCAACACUCUAGGCUCUCAGGGGCCCGGCAGCCUUCACAGCAGAGGCCUGCCUCAGUGGGCCACGGGUCUCCAUGGGCUGAGCCUCCAUCCGAGAAGCCUGAGGUUGAGUGGUAAGCAGAGGCCCAGCCAUCCUUGCUGUGGUGUUUAUCCCUCCUUCCUGCCAGGUUUCAGCGGCAGAAGACCCCUGUCUGCUGGGAAUGGAGUUUCCAUAGAGGAGGAGAAAAUAAUUUUUUUCCUAUAAUUUGUAAAGCUUGUGAAAAAGCCACUAUCGUGAUUUUUUAAAUCAAGUAGUGGGACAUUUAAAAAACAAUAAAGAUAUUUUCCUAAAUA